ACUGUAACCUCAACACUACUUUUUUUUACCCUCCUGGUGGGGGUGACCUUAUCUUGUAUCAACAUUUAUUCUGAUUCUUGGGUCACCCUGAAGUGUAUAUCCUUCUCCUACCAGGCUUCGAGAUGAUCUCCCAUAUCGUAACACACUACUCAGGAG